rnacentral:lncRNA from 1 species
UCUCAAUUUUGUGGGAGAUUUGACUGUUUCAAGACAAAAAUGAUAAAUCGAACAAUGCUUUUUGCUGUUAUAUAUUAUUCAUUUUUCUUUUCUUCUGCUGAAUGUGAACAGCACCAUGAGGAGGAGUAUACUGUUGUGAUGUAUGCUCGCUAAAGCUUGCUUUAUGAGUACUGUAUGUAAAUUACUGCAAAAGGGAAUGCAGAGACAUAGGAAUAUACGAUCUGGGAAUAUCUU